ACAAUCUUACAAAGGGAUUGGCGAGGAAAUGCAAGAGAUUUAUUCAUUAAGGGGGCGUAAAAGGUCAGACCUUUGUGACAAGAUGAGUAUUGAGGAGGAAACUAGAGAUUCAACUUCCCAGCUAGAUACCAAGAAUGCAUAGCAAGGCUUCCAAAUGAAAAGAUGUUAGCAAGGGAUGAUAACCCGUGAAUCAUUCCAAACUUCUUGUUCAUAGCAGCUAGCUUUGGGAUACUCUUUGCCUUUUCUCUGUUCUUGGACCAACCAACUUCAUCUCCAAUGUUGUUUUCCCUCUCUACUUUGUGCCUUUGUUUCAUCAUCUACAUACACCAAAGCAAAGGCCAUUGACUGGUUCAUUAGGAUCUUGUAUGCAUUUUUCUAUGCAAUUGG